UAAGACCUUGCGCUAGAGGAGCGGCCGAUGUCUGAUUAGCUAGUUGGUGGGGUAAGAGCUUACCAAGGCGACGAUCAGUAGUUGGUCUGAGAGGACGGCCAACCACACUGGGACUGAGACACGGCCCAGACUCCUACGGGAGGCAGCAGUGGGGAAUUUUGGACAAUGGGGGUAACCCUGAUCCAGCCAUGCCGCGUGAGUGAAGAAGGCCUUCGGGUUGUAAAGCUCUUUCAGUCGGAAAGAAAAAACCAUGACUAAUAAUCAUGGUUCAUGACGGUACCGACAGAAGAAGCACCGGCUAACUACGUGCCAGCAGCCGCGGUAAUACGUAGGGUGCAAGCGUUAAUCGGAAUUACUGGGCGUAAAGGGUGCGCAGGCGGUUUCGUAAGUCAGAUGUGAAAGCCCCGGGCUUAACCUGGGAAUU
rnacentral:rRNA from 1 species